rnacentral:piRNA from 1 species
UGAAUUUGGGCAUCACUUUGACAUCCACUGU